rnacentral:SRP_RNA from 1 species
CCGUGCUAGGCGGGGCGCUAGCGGUGCCCUGAUCCCGGUUCGCCGGGUGACCCGCAAUCCGCUAUAGCGGGGCUGAAUUCUCGGCCGAGGGUCUGCCGUCGGUGGACCAUCCGACUUCAUCGGAUGUGUUGAUCGCUGGGUCCUCUGCAAUGGCGUGCCGUGAACCUGGUCAGGUCCGGAAGGAAGCAGCCAUAAGCGAAGCGCGUCAUGUGCCGGAGGGUCGCCUGGCGGGAGCAUCCGGUCCCGUCGGACCCAUGGGCGACGGCUCGACGCCGAGUGCACGG